rnacentral:tRNA from 1 species
GCCUCCUUAGCUCAGUGGUUAGAGCACUGGUCUUGUAAACCAGGGGUCGUGAGUUCGAAUCUCACAGGGGGCU